rnacentral:tRNA from 1 species
GCAGGCAUGGCGCAAUGGUCAGCGCGUCUGACUUCGAAUCAGAAGGUUGGGGGUUCGAAUCCCUCUGCUUGUA